UGGUGGCUGUCCGCGUGGACCUGGUGACAGCCCGACGUCGCUGUGAGAGCCGGGUUCAGACAGAGGCGAAGGGCAGAGCUCAGCUCCUGCUCUGACUCAUGAGCACAAGCAGCUCAUUUAGCUAGUGCCCUAUUGAGACAUCUCAGCAGCCUCAUCCAGAGCAGCAAAAGCCACAGACAGGACGUGGGGCCGGCCGUGGGGCUGAGCCCUGCUGCAGGCAGGUCCUCCUGGAGCCAACAGACAGCUCUGUCGAUUGCAGAGGUGCUGCAGCAGCAGACUGGGCUCUGCUGAGGCAGAGGUGGAGUGAAGCAUCCCCGUGAGGACAGCCCACCUGCCAGGGGCUCAGAAAGCCAUGGCUGCAUGGGGACAGGAGCUUGGAGCUACCCCACAGCAUCCGUGAUGGGUCUGUCACUUUGCAGCGGGGCCGCUGUAAUUAUGCUGUGGGAAGCAGAGCUCACUUCGCCGAACCCUGAGCGGAUUAAGGAUCCUCCGUGCCUUUUCCCACCCCUCUCUGCCAGGGAAGGAGACGCCUGGAGGAGCUCUGAGGGGGUGAAGCAGCCUGCAGGAGAUCUGCUGCCUUCUCCCCGCUGGUGCUCCCCUCCAGCUCCUUCUGGAUGCAUGGCACGGGCUCUGCUUGCUGCUACAUCACCCCUUCCCAUCAACACGUCUGCAACACCGGGACGUUCUCCUUCAGAGCUCACCCUGAGCUGCUGCAUGCAGGGUGCUCCCCAGCACACGGGGAGGUCUGUGCAAGGCAGCAGCUUCCAGCCCGAGCUGCCGUUGUGCUCUGUGUGCAGCAGGGAGGUGUAUCAUUAAUCUAUUAAUUAUUCACACCGCGCCAGACGGGCGCGCGGAAGAUCAGACGGGGAUUGCUGGCUCCCAGCGAGCUCCUCGACUCUCCUUAUGUCAAGAAUUGCUCUUCAGUCACAGGCACGUUGUCACCGGCCACCUGCAUGUGACAGGACAAUCUUUGUUAAAAUCCCAAUUAGCAGAUAAUAAGGGCGGCACGAAACCACAUUCUCCCAAGCCAGAUUGGCACCCGCCCUCCUAUUUUUUUUUUCCUUUCUCUUUAUUUUUUGUCCUUUCCCUUUCUAAAAUGGAUGUUUCUCGCCAAGACUUCAGGGCAAGAGGCAGCUCAGGUGAGUGGAGGAGGGAUGGAGCAGAAGGGUGAAGGAUGAUGGAGGGAACCCAUGCAUAGAAUCAUAGCAUUGUAGAAUCAUAGAGACGUAGUAUCAUAGAAUCUUAGUCAUAGAAUCAUAGAGCCAUAGAGUCAUAGAGUCAUAGAGUCAUAGAGCCAUAGAAUCAUAGAGUGAUAGAGUCAUAGAGCCAUAGAAUCAUAGAGUGGUAGAGUCAUAGAGCCAUAGAAUCAUGGAACCAUAGAGUGGUAGAGUCAUAGAGCCAUGGAAUAAUAGAGUGGUAGAGUCAUAGAGCCAUAGAAUCACAGAACUGUAGAACUGUAGAAUCACAGAAUUAUAGGAUCAUUGUAUAAUAGUCAUGGAAUCAUAGACUCAAAGAACCAUAGCAUCAUUGAAUGGUUGGGUUGGAGGGACCUUUAAAGAUGAUCAAGUUCCAGCCCCACCAUGGGGUCUGUCCCCACUCUGAUCCCACAGUGAUGGGUCACUGGAGGGCCCUCGGCAGUCUCUCUUUCAUCACUUGCUUGUAGUCGCCAUUAAGUGUUAAUGCAGGGUGAUGAAGGAUGAGAGGAUUUAACAGGCCUGACAGCUGCUUUUGGCUCUUUCAUCCAGGCCUUCAGUAGGAACAACUGGAGAAAGCUAGAGGAGCUCAUGGUCUACCUGGUGCAAGGCAUGGAGAGAAGAAGCUACAGAAAGAGGUGUGACAUUCCCUUUGCAAGGCUUAGGGGAGCAAGUAUUGGGCUCGAUGAAGGUCUUUCCAACCUAGGAACCGUGAUCCCAUGAGAUACAGAGUCCCCAACCCUGGAGGUGUUCCAGAACCAUGGGGAUGUGGCACUGAAGGAUGUGAUCAGUGGGCAUGGCGGGGUGGGUUCGGGUUGGAUGCGGUGAUCCUAGAGGUGUUUCCAGCCUUAAUGAUUCUGUGGUUCUAAGCACUGUGCGAGCAGUGUGCCACGUUGGUUGUCCUGUCCCUUCCACCCAACUAAGACCACUCUGUUUGCCAUUUUCUCAUCACUGUGGGCACUGCGUUGACUCAUCUGCUUAUUUUUAACUGGGGCAGAUCUUACAGAAGGAGCAAAAUGACUCCAAGUCUGAGUGACAGUGGCGGGGGAUGGAGUCCCAACGUUAAUCUUCCCCAUGCAGGUCUGAAGAAGUGGAAGCCUCCACUGAAUGCCACGUCGUCCCAUGGCCCCCUUGUAAACAAGGUGGGCUUCUUCAAAACAUUUAUUUCAGGUAUCAAACUGAAUGUUCCAUCUCUUGGGGGAUUCGAUUCUCUCUUUCCAGGCAGGGCUCCCAGUGCCUCAGCACAAGGCUUUAAAGGCAUUGCUCCACUCUUUUGGAUUAGUGACCCAUUCUAACAGGUCCUCAUUGACCGCCAUCGCGGGUCUCUCAAAGAGUCCAUUGGGCGCAGCUUACAAAGGAGUUGAGCCGGAGAUGAAGAGUUUACAAAAAGUUUGUAGGAAACCGUGGAGUCCUUUUAAAAGAGAAUAAACUGCCACUGCUGUGUCUGGGCUGAGUUAAUCUGAUUAGGCCAAGCUCAUCAACAGCCCCGCUGAAAGGAGCGCGGGGGGAACGCGGGCUGGGGCGGCCCUGGAGAGAAACCGGGGACCUUUUUAGCAUGGAAGUCAAACAAAACCCAUUGUGGCAGAGCGUGCUUGCCUACAGAUGGCAAAAUGACACAUCUUUGCAAAAGCAAAGCAAAUAUCCUUGAUGGUUUUUCUCUGUUUCGUUUUGUUUUUUUCUGGUUUUCUUCUCAGGUGUGGGAGCAGACACUGAAUGAGAUUAGCAGAUGCCAAAGGGAACGGGGCUGUGAAGCACUGCAGAUAGGUGUCCUGGUUGCUUGAGUGGGAUAGGUUGAUGAAGUUCACCUUCUCUAUGUAAAAUAUGGAGGGAUAGGAAGCCCUCAUACCUAGCACUGCUUCUCCUCUGUCCCUUGGGAAUUGCACAGAUAUCUACAUGGGAAGCAAUGCAGACCCCGUGUCCACCAAGGGACAUGGUGGUGGUGGGUUGGUGAUCCUAGUGGCCAUUCCCAUCCUUAACAAUCUGACAACUCUAUGAUUCCAUGCUCCAUCAUCACCCACUUUGGGCCAUCCCUCAGUGGAUGACCAGGCAAUGCGCCACCAAGGCUUUGCAGCAGCCUACAUGCAAACCCAACCACUUCAUCUGCUCGUGGCCAUAGCACCUUCAUCCCUAAGAAGCAGUGAUGCACAGCAAGUCAAUGCACUUGGACAAUGUGCUUGCAUGAUGCCCUUGUUUGAUGCACUAGCAAGAAGCAAUUGCACCAUGCUCUUGUACAAUGCAUCAGCAUGAUGUACUUGUAUGUUGCGCCUCCACAAUGCACUUGUAUGAUGCAUUACUAUGGUGCACUUGCACGGUGCAGCCAAGGAAACACUGCCUACCAGGUCCUCUCUCCUUCCCCUUUUCCCCAGGCUUCAGCACGUCAAUCCUGCAGUUUUGACCUUGGUAAGCACUGCAGCACUUGAGCAAACACCUGAACAAGCCUUUGGCCCCCACGGCAUCCCAAAGAGGCUGUGCAGGGCCAGACAGCACUGACUGUGGGCAAAAGAAAACCCCUAAUUAAACGUCCCGUCGGGAAGUGACAUCCCCACCACUGCUCUGUAUUAGAGGAGCCAGGGCCGUGCUUGGAUUUACCAUAGGCAGCUCCUUAGCCAAUAUAAUUAAGAACAGUAUCAGUGGAAGGCAUGUAAGGAGAUUUUCUCCCCGAGGCCACCUAAUACAGAUGUAAUUGACUCUAUUUUCUGCUUUCUGCACAUGGAUUGCCGCAACUCAGCCCCUAUUAUCCGCCAACAAAUGAACAGGAUCCGCUGAAAGGACCUCUCCAGCCAGGGCCAGGCACAGAGAAUGGAGCACUGGGCUGUGUUAAAUCCGGACACAACGCGUUCCUUCCCUCCCUUUUCAUCUCCGCCGCCUUUUCAAGAUGUUUUCCAUGCGGGAUAAGUCAGCAGAUCUGGGCUUGGGCAAAGCGUUGGCACUCGGGGAAGAAGGGAACAUCUGUCCCAAUCAGCUGUGCUAUUCUGUGCCGCCCGACAAAACCGGGCGAUGCCUUCGAGAGGGGCUUUGUGAGCACGGCUGCAAUUUCCUUUCGCUGCGAUUUCGAAGGGCGGGGAAGGAGGAAGGGAGGUGAGAAAAGAAAUUAAAGCCCAUUG